CAACACUUUUUAUUGUACCAGUGCCUUUACUCAUAUAUUCUCAGUGGCUUUUAUUUUAUUUUACUUUCAUUUUCUUAUUUUUUUAUCUACAUCCAUAGGUGGGGAUUAUACCACCAACGCUGGCACCACAGAGCAGUGAGCCUGCUCUAUGUCUGUAAGUAGAACCUUUAUAUUCACAUAAUUACAGUGUCUUACUGAGAGCACUAUCUGAGGCCUUUUUUAUUUUUUUGUCUUUGAGCAUCCAGACAACCACCAGCCAAGAACCAUCACCACCAUAUCCUGAAUAGUGGGGAUCAUAGGCGAUUCAUCCUAGAGCUGGCAGUAGCUCUCUUAAAUGUGAGUGUAAUACUAUUAUUUAUAAACAGGCCUCUCUAGCCCUGGCUUACUGCACUAUUAGGUCUUUCUUGUGUUUCUUCUCACCCACAUACAGAGACCCAAGAUUGCAAGACCCUCUAAGUACAAAGAACUGCAGUUGAAUCUACCUCCGGAAUAAGAG